GUCGAUAUGUCCAAGUGGGUAAGGAGACAGACUUGAAAUCUGUUGGGUAUUACCUGCACAGGUUCGAACCUUGCUGUUGACG
rnacentral:tRNA from 1 species